CCUACGGGUGGCAGCAGUGGGGAAUAUUGCUCAAUGGGGGAAACCCUGAUGCAGCAACGCCGCGUGGAGGAUGAAGGGUUUCUGCGUGUAAAGCCCUUUUGUCAGGGAAGUAAAUGACGGUACCUAACCAAGAAGCCCCGUCUAACUACGUUCCAGCAGCCGCGGUAAUACGGAGGGGGCAAGCGUUAUCCGGAGUUACUGGGUGUAAAGGGUGCGUAGGCGGAAUAGCAAGCCAGGAGUGAAAGCCUGUGGCGUAACCACGGAACUGCGGUUGGAACUGGAUGGCUUGAGUGCGGGAGGGGUAGGCGGAAUUCUUGGUGUAGAGGUGAAAUGCGUAGAGAUCAGGAGGAACGCCGAUUGCGAAGGCGGCCUGCUGGACCGUGACUGACGCUGAAGCCCGAAGGCGUGGGGAGCAAACAGGAUUAGAUACCCCAGUAGUC
rnacentral:rRNA from 1 species